UAAUACGUAGGGUCCGAGCGUUGUCCGGAGUUACUGGGCGUAAAGCGCGCGCAGGCGGCCCCUCAGGCACGACGUGAAAGCCCCGGGCUCAACCCGGGAGGGUCGUCGUGAACCGUGGGGCUUGAGGCCGGUAGAGGUGGGUGGAACUCCUGGUGGAGUGGUGAAAUGCGUAGAGAUCAGGAAGAACACCCGUGGCGAAGGCGGCCCACUGGGCCGGUACUGACGCUGAGGCGCGAAGGCGUGGGGAGCGAACGGGAUUAGAUACCCCGGUAGUCCACGCAGUAAACGAUGUCGACUCGGUGUGGGCGGUCUUGACCCCGUCCGCGCCACAGCUAACGCGAGAAGUCGACCGCCUGGGGAGUACGGCCGCAAGGCUA
rnacentral:rRNA from 1 species